ACGGAGGAGGCAAGCGUUAUCCGGAAUCAUUGGGCGUAAAGCGUCCGCAGGUGGCUAUUCAAGUCUGCUGUCAAAGCACGGGGCUUAACCCUGUCAAGGCGGUGGAAACUGAAAGGCUAGAGAGAGGUAGGGGUAGCGGGAAUUCCCAGUGUAGCGGUGAAAUGCGUAGAUAUUGGGAAGAACACCAGCGGCGAAAGCGCGCUACUGGGCCUGUACUGACACUGAGGGACGAAAGCUAGGGGAGCGAAAGGGA
rnacentral:rRNA from 1 species